AAUUUUAUGAUUUUAAAAUUUUAUAAACAUUUAAUUUAAUUAAUUGAGUAAAAUACUAAAAUCUUUCGAUCAAAUUUUUUUUAGAAAAAAGCCCAGAAGAUUUCAAUCAAUCAAAAUAAAGUUGAGGGGGCACAUGAGAUCUGUUACGUAAAAUUAAUUAUUUCAACUUAUGAAUUUUGAAUUGUUACUUUAUUUAUUUAGCUUUUUUAAGGAAGUACAUGUAUAUUUUUAAUACAUAUAAAUAUCUUUUUAUAUUUUAAUAGCUGGACUGUAUGUGCGCCCGCAUAUUGCAUAUACACUAUGCGGUGGGUAACGGCAUGAAGUCAGCUACAGCAUUUUGGAACAUUGGCCUCCAUUCGAAACCCUCUCUUGCAUCUACUUUCAUAGUCGUGAAGAAUUUCGUUAACGUAAUUUGCUUUAGGUAGGAUGGAAGUGUGGAUGGGCGUCCUGACAUUAAUUGCCAUCAUAGGAAAGAAUAAUUGCCAUGAACCUGUCAUCACUUUGCUGAAUCCUUCUCUAACCACUUCAUUCCAUGAUUUUUAUACAAAAGUAUAAGUAAUAGAAGAUAUUGAAAUGGAAAAAGUUGAAUAUACUGAAUAUGAAGAGAAAGAAGGAAUGAUAGGUUAUUUUGGCAUAUUUUGGACAAGUUAUGGGCACUUAUAGACGCUUUAAUUUUUGAAAAAACUAACGGCUAGUUUUGGAAAAACUAGCUGUUUUUCUAAUCCUGUGAAAAAUAUGGUAUUUUAUCCAAGCACUGAAAAAAAGAGUAAAAAAUCCUAGCGUAUUCAGGAGUUGGUACUAACCUAUUACUAUGGAAUAUAAAUCUCUGUUUAAAUUCUAGAGUUGCCAAACAGGUCCUAAAUAAUGAGAUGUUGUUGGGGGCAUGCAUGAGAAGCCGCAAUAGAGCAACCCAUUUUUUUCCAAGAGUUAGCAGCAUAUCCAACUCAUUUGCAGUUUAUUUUGGAAACUGUCGCGAAGUGUCUCGAUCCUACAAUGCACAUUUCUUGCUCGAUGAAGUUGAAGAGGCUGGAGAGGAUGUCACACGAAGACAACAUACGGGCAGGGUGCCAUUCUCAUUGGCAAAGAGCUUAGCUUGUCUUCAAGAAGAAUUCACUGUAGACCGGCAAAAGCCCUUGUCACGGAUGGAGCAGAAGAGAUUGAUCGAGCUCCGGAUUAAGAAGAAGGUCAAGGCGCAAUUUCUGAAUGGGAAGUUUCAUGAUCUUAUGGGUACUGUGGUUGCCAACCCUGAUUCUCUCCGUGAUGCUUAUGAUAUUAUAUGUCUCAACUCGAAUGUUGAUUUGGCUUCUAGAAGACAUGAUGUUUGUUUUAAUUCCUUGGCCGAGCAGCUUGAAAGUGGGGAUUUUGAUAUCGAAGGUAAUACCAUAGUGAUAAUUGCAAAGGGUAGUAGAAAAGAGUGCUUGGUCCUCCCUAGGUUAAAACUGAAAGUAAUUCAAGAAGCAAUACGUGUAGUUCUUGAGGUGGUAUUUAGGCCUCACUUCUCUAAGAUUUCUCAUGGUUGCAGAAGUGGAAGAGGGUGCCGAUCGGCUCUUAGAUUUAUCUGUGAAGAGAUUGGAAGACCUGAUUGGUGCUUUACAAUUCCUAUGAACAAAGAGGCUAAUGGGAUAAUCCUUUCUAAGCUCAUUUUAGAAUUCAAGGAGAAGAUUGAAGAUGCUCACUUGAUCAGCUUCAUUCAGAGUUUGUUUAAUGCUCGAGUGCUCAACAUGGUGUUUGGAGGCUAUCCCAAGGGACAUGGACUUCCGCAAGAAGGUGUCCUCUCACCGAUCCUUAUGAACAUUUAUCUUGAUGUUUUAGAUCGUGAAUUAUUCAGAAUAAGCAUGAGAUAUGAAGCACUUCGUUCAGAUAAAAAUAAUGUUAAAAAUGUUGAUGGCUCAAACUUACGCCGCUGGUUUCAAAGGCAAAUAAAAGACAGAGAUGAUACAAAUGAGAAGCAAAUAAAAGAUGGUGUAGGGACAAGAAUUUUUGCAUGUAGAUAUAUGGAUGAGAUUUUUAUUGCAAUCUUUGGAUCCAAAGAUGUUGCACAAGAUGUAAAAACUGAAGUUAUAGCUUACUUGAACAACUCACUUUUCUUGGAUGUGGAGGAUAAAGUGGAUCUAAUGACAGUCAGUAAGAAUUCCUGCAGUUUGCAAUUUGCUGGUACAGUUGUCCGGGUGACUGAAAAAGAAAGUACUGCAUUAAAAGCGGUGCACAAGUUGAAGGACAAGGUCUCGCUUUUUGCUUCUCAGAAGCAGGAAAUAUGGGAUGCUAUGAAUCUAAGAAUAGGCAAGAAGUGGCUUGCACAUGGUUUAAGAAGGAUCAAGGAAUCUGAGAUCAAGCAACUCGGUCUAAGCUCUCCAUUGUUGGAUCAUAUUUCUCAAUUUCGUAAAGAGGGAAUGAAAACUGACCACUGGUUUAAGUCCUUGCUGAACAUCUGGAUGCAAGAUAUUAAAGCCAAAACUGAAGCAAAUGAAGAUGUUCUUCUAUCCAAACAAAUCGCUGAACCAGCACUACCACAAGACUUGAGAGACUCAUUUUACAAUUUCCAAAUAAAGGCCAAAGAAUAUGUUUCGUCAGAGUCAGCUGCGACCCUUGCAUUGCUAAAUUGCUCCACAACCACUGAAAAUAUUAUUACUAAGAUGGAAGCACCUAUUAAAUAUGUGAAAAAAAGCCUUUAUCGUUAUGGAUUGAUGAACAUUGAGGGGUUCUCUAGGCAUGUCUCUGCCCUUGUCUUACAAGACGACACUCUAAUCAUAAACUGGUUUUCUGGAUUAGUUAAACGGUGGCUUAGAUGGUAUUCUGAGUUUGACAAUUUUGAAGAAAUCAAACUCUUAAUAGUUGACUGUGUUAGGAAAUCGUGCAUUAGGACAUUAGCAGCCAAGUACCGUAUGCAUGAAGUUUCAAUAGAGAAGCGUUUUGAAUUGGACCAACAUGGAAUUCCAACAGGAUAUGAUUUAGAGACCGAAAUGAAAUUGAUUGGUUAUGACUCUCCUUUCGCUCAUGAUGAUGAAGCUUUGAUGUAUGGUAUUUCUCAUAGUGGUUUAUGUUUACUAUCUUUAUCUAGGGUUAGGGUUCCGACUCGUGUAAUCAAUUGCUUUGUUAUGGGAUGCAUGAAUGCUUCACCAAGCAUGUACACGCUUCAUGUGAAGGAGAAGCAACGGUUUCCUGGAUGGAAGACAGGUUUCGCGGUAUCAAUUCAUGCUAGUUUGAAUGGAAAACGAAUUGGCUUGUGCAGCCAGCAUGUUAAAGAUUUGUAUCUUGGGAAUAUUUCACUUCAAUCCAUUGAGUUCGGUGCUUUGAGUUGAUGAUUCCCUUCUUGAGAUGUUGAUAGUUUUAUCUUGGAGGCUCGCAAUGUGUAGCCUGUUAUGUUGCGCUAUUGUUCGUAGUUUUGGGUUUUACAAGAAAUUCAAUUUAAAAUUUUUAAGUGGGUUAAAAAUUCAUUCAUCCGAACAGAUCAUAAUUGUUCAAGUUUUUUAAGCAUCACAUCACUUAGUCUGUGACAAUCAGCUUAGCAUCCGUGAGGUAGGGUUGCUUCAGUGGUAAAUUUUACUGUCUGAUUUUUCUCUCUGCAUAUAGUUAGAAAGAACACAAACUGUGGAACAAAACAACUGCAAUAAUGAGUAGGGAUAUAUGAUCAAUAUAAAAUCUACACAAUAAAAUCUGCAUUUCUUUAUGGACAUUUGGCUGCAAGACAAGCUCAUCUUCACUGAUUUAUGUCCUGUUUCGUAUGCUUCCAAAGCCGGUUCAUCCAUUAGUUUGUAAAUUGCUGAUUUUGUUAAAUAUUAGUUGUGAUUAAAGAAACUGUGUUACUUUGUUGGCUUAGUUACACUUUAAUAAACUGCACUCGGUGUAAUUUUCAUUGUCUACUACAUUCUACUAUCAUCUUUCCAAAUUCCCUGGUGAACAAUUUAUGGUGUUCGUUAUCAUUCCUCUUAUUGAUGCUGCUCACUCCAGGAGGGAAGAAUAUUGUCUACUGAGGAAGACUUUGGGAUUACGGGCUCUACAGGAAAAAACUUGGUCAGAACCUUGAAAAAGAAGGUCAUUCUCAAGUCAAGUUAAAUUGCUCAUUUAAUUCCUCUCUUCUACGCAAGUUCUUGUUCAUGUCCUAUUCGUUGUGCCAAGAGGAUAGCUGCUACCUUAAACUAAUGCCGCAGUAGGCAGUGCCGACACACACCAGAGCUACUGUACAAUGGUGGUCAUGUCCUAUUCGUUGUGCCUCAGAGGAUAGCUGCUACCUUAAACUUAUGCCCUAGUAGGCAGUGCCGACACGUACCAGAGCUACUGUACAUUGGUGGUCAGGUGGAAGUGGUUGCAAAAAUACCUAAUGAAUCGUCCUGUUCUGAUGAAUGUGAUAAUGGUAUAGAUGAGCUUGCCACUGACAAUGAUGAGAAUCGAGAGAUUAUCUAUAUUCUAAAAGUUGUGAGCUAGAUUAAGAAACAUAGGAAGCAGACCAAGCAUGUUGUUCAUGUUUGGAUAUGUUGAAUCUAGUGUUCUGGCUGGACGUGCCCGUGAGAGAGGAAGUUGCUAAAUGUUUAGACCAUGUAAGUGUACCGAAUUACUAAUUCCUUGGUUGUCAAAAUAUGUGAUGAUGAU